rnacentral:rRNA from 1 species
AGUGAACGCUGGCGGUAGGCCUAACACAUGCAAGUCGAACGGCAGCACAGUAAGAGCUUGCUCUUACGGGUGGCGAGUGGCGGACGGGUGAGGAAUACAUCGGAAUCUACUUGUUCGUGGGGGAGAACGUAGGGAAACUUACGCUAAUACCGCAUACGACCUACGGGUGAAAGCAGGGGAUCUUCGGACCUUGCGCGAUUGAAUGAGCCGAUGUCGGAUUAGCUAGUUGGCGGGGUAAAGGCCCACCAAGGCGACGAUCCGUAGCUGGUCUGAGAGGAUGAUCAGCCACACUGGAACUGAGACACGGUCCAGACUCCUACGGGAGGCAGCAGUGGGGAAUAUUGGACAAUGGGCGCAAGCCUGAUCCAGCCAUACCGAGUGGGUGAAGAAGGCCUUCGGGUUGUAAAGCCAUUUUGUUGGGAAAGAAAAGCAGCAGGUUAAUACCCCGCUGUUCUGACGGUACCCAAAGAAUAAGCACCGGCUAACUUCGUG